AACGAACGCUGGCGGCAUGCCUAACACAUGCAAGUCGAACGAGACCUUCGGGUCUAGUGGCGCACGGGUGCGUAACGCGUGGGAACCUGCCCUUAGGUUCGGAAUAACUCCUCGAAAGGGGUGCUAAUACCGGAUAAUUUCUUCUGACCAAAGAUUUAUCGACUUUGGAUGGGCCCGGGUUGGUUUAGCUAGUUGGUAGUGUAAAAGCCUACCAAGGCUACGCUCCAUAGCUGGUCUGAGAGGAUGAUCAGCCACACUGGGACUGAGACACGGCCCAGACUACUACGGGAGGCAGCAGUGGGGAAUAUUGGAAAAUGGGCGAAAGCCUGAUCCAGCAAUGCCGCGUGAGUGAUGAAGGCCUUAGGGUUGUAAAGCUCUUUUACCCGGGAUGAUAAUGACAGUACCGGGAGAAUAAGCACCGGCUAACUCCGUG
rnacentral:rRNA from 1 species